UAUGGAUGAGAGCUGCAUCCCAUUACACUGCAGCCAUCGCUGGAAGAUGUGGUAAGAAUAAGAAUCUACUCUUUCCUCACUUUGACAAUCUUUUACCUAGAUGAUACCUACUUGUUUUAGCCUUGAUAUCUUAACUUGCAUUGACAGGAUGCAAACAAAAAGGACCCAUCCAUAGAAUCGGAACAGAAGGACCAAUGCCAAGGAUCAGAAGAGGACCUAUCCAGAGGAUCAGAAGAGAAGUACCCAUCCCAUGGAUUAGAUGAAAUGGACCAAUCCCAAGGAUUAGAAAAAAAGGACCAAUCCCAAGUAUUAGAAGAAAAGGAUCAGUCUCAAGUAUCAGAAGAGAAGGACCAUUCCCAAAGGUCAAAAGGAAGGAACUAUCCCAAGGAUCAGAAGAGCAUCCAGUUCAUCAGCUGCAGGAGGAAGGCAAUUUUAAGCUGGCCAUAUUCCCUUAUUGAGAAAAAGGAUGUCCUGAAUUCAAGUGCAUCAAUCAUUAGAGUAUGCAUAAGAUUAGAUCCGGACACAGGGAGACUAACUGGCUAACAGAUGAAGGGGUGACCAUUGCCCAGUUUUGACCAUCAGAAAAUUUCGGCCAAUAUGGUAAGUAACUGGUUAAACAAGCUUCAAUCCAAAGCCUAAAUAGGCAACUCUAUCAUUUAUUAGCAGAAGUCUCAAGAAUAGGAAUCAAUUGUGGCAAACCAUAGAAAAAUGGAUUAAGACAACCUCUUUCUGGAGUCCUAAAGAGAAGACUGUCAUCUGAAAGCAAGAGUGUUGAAUUUUUUGAGAUGGACUGAAUCCUAGGAAAGCAAACCCUAGGCAAACUACCAGCAAACCCUAGGAAUUAUGGUAAGGAUUAUGCUGGGUCCCGAAACAAAGAGGCGUCUUUCAUCAGCCUGAAAAAGUGCAAAGUGUUAGGGGAAUCAAGGGCAGCCAACCUUAGAUUUGAUGGGUUGGACUGGUUUUGAUGUUCAAUAAACAGGAUCUGUGACCUUGUGUUAAGGAUCUGUGACCUUGUGUGAAGGAUAUCUGUGACCUUGUGUGAAGGAUAUCUGUGACCUUGUGUGGAGGAUCUAUGACCUUGUGUGAAGGAUAUCUGUGAUCUUCAGAGGAGAUCAACUUACAUUGUAUGAAGGAUUUGUUAUCUAACUUCCUCAUACAUGUUUCUUGAGGAAUUCAAGUUUUUUCAUAAACAUUUUUAAAAUUUAUUUUUAUAUUGCAAAAUCCUUAAAAAUGUUACAGUGAUUCAUAGUUAAAUACAAGAGUGAGGAUCCGCCACUCUAAUUUUUGCUUACUCUGCACUUGCCACGGACACAUGUUUCCAUAAAUUUGCAAAGUUAAUAAUUUAUGGUUUUUCCUGGGCGGCAGAGGAGGUUUAUGUUAUUUUUAAAUACAUUUUGUUUUAAAUAUUCUAUGAUUUAAUUGUAUCAAAAGCUUUGUCUGUUAUUCUGGAAAAUACUUUACCUUAAUAUUGUGUAAACUUACAAAAUAUGUUGUGAUGCAAUUUGAGCUUUUUUUCUGUAAGUGUGUGUGCAGGCAUCAUGUAUAGAGAAGUUUGCACAUCUCUUAAUCUGUAAUGAAUUUUAUGU